rnacentral:misc_RNA from 1 species
GGAAAACCCCCGCCUCCUAAAUAUGGUCGUGUAAUGAGGAAUUUUAAUGCCCCAAGAAUAUCUACAAUUGCAUCAGUUGUUCAAUCAUCACCGGAUAAAAAAGCUUCUGGUCUAUAUGAGAAGGUUAUUCUACAGAAGUUUGUACCGAAUGGAAAGGUUCCUUUGAAGAACUCGCCUCCCGUUACUAUGGAAAAUAAUGAUAGGAAUCUACCAUCUGAGCCAAUGAUGAGAAGUGAAAAAGAAAUGGGAGGAAAUAUUAUUGUGUCGGGUAAAGAAAAUAUGGAGAGUAAAGAUUCCAUGAGAUCUUGUUCAAAUAAUGUGACUGUAUCUUCCAGUGAUCAGUAUCUUUCUACAUCUGCUGGCUCACCAGUUAAUACAUCUUCUGAAGAAAAAGUGGUUGAGUUGAAACCUCAGGCUCAUCCUGAAACAGUUUGCCAUUCAUCUGAUCCCUCUCAAGCUCUUAAUCACCUGCAAAGAAAUGACCAUGAAGAGGUGGCAAACACAG